GAUGAACGCUAGCUACAGGCUUAACACAUGCAAGUCGUGGGGAAACUACAUCGCAAGCUUGCUUUUGAUGUUCGUCGCCCGGCGGACGGUUGAGUAACGCGUAUCCAACUUUCCCAUCACUUUGGGAUAACCUUACGAAGGUAAGUCUAAUACCCAAUGAUCUCUCUAGAAGACAUCUGAAAGAGAUUAGAGAUUUAUCGUUGAUGGAUGGGGAUGCGUCUGAUUAGCUUGUUGGCGGGGUAACGGCCCACCAAGGCAACGAUCAGUAGGGGAACUGAGAGGGUGAGCGAGCACAUUGAGACUGGGACACGGACCAAACUCCUACGGGAGGCAGCAGUAGGGAAUCGUCCGAAAGGGACGAAAGUGUGAGGGAGAAACGCCGCGUGAGUGAAGAAGGAGAUCGGGUCGUAAGACGCAGUUGGCGGGGAAGAACAAGUGACGUGCGAACAGGGAGGCGCCUUGAAGGUACCCGACCAGAAAGCCACGGCUAACUACGUG
rnacentral:rRNA from 1 species